rnacentral:rRNA from 1 species
CCUACGGGUGGCAGCAGUGGGGAAUAUUGCACAAUGGGGGAAACCCUGAUGCAGCGACGCCGCGUGAGUGAAGAAGUAUUUCGGUAUGUAAAGCUCUAUCAGCAGGGAAGAAAAUGACGGUACCUGACUAAUAACCCCCGGCUAACUACGUGCCAGCCGCCGCGGUAAUACGUAGGGGGCAAGCGUUAUCCGGAUUUACUGGGUGUAAAGCGAGCGUAGACGGUGAUGCAAGUCAGAAGUGAAAGCCCGGGGCGCAACUCCGGGACUGCUUUUGAAACUGUGGGACUGGAGUGCAGGAGAGGUAAGCGGAAUUCCUGGUGUAGCGGUGAAAUGCGUAGAUAUCAGGAGGAACACCAGUGGCGAAGGCGGCUUACUGGACUGUAACUGACGUUGAGGCUCGAAAGCGUGGGGAGCAAACAGGAUUAGAUACCCCUGUAGUC